rnacentral:rRNA from 1 species
GAUGAACGCUGGCGGCGUGCUUAACACAUGCAAGUCGAACGGAAAGGCCCCUCUUUGCCGGGGUACUCGAGUGGCGAACGGGUGAGUAACACGUGAGUGACCUGCCCUGCACUUUGGGAUAACCCUAGGAAACUGGGUCUAAUACCGGAUAGGAGCUUGGGCUGGAUGCUGUUGUUGGGAGUUUUGGCGGUGUGGGAUGGGCACGCGGCUUAUCAGCUUGUUGGGGGGGUAGUGGUCUACCAAGGCGUUGCCGGGUGGCCGGCCUGAGAGGGUGUACGGCCACAUUGGGACUGAGAUACGGCCCAGACUCCUACGGGAGGCAGCAGUGGGGAAUAUUGCACAAUGGGCGGAAGCCUGAUGCAGCGACGCCGCGUGGGGGAUGACGGCCUUCGGGUUGUAAACUGCUUUCGCUUGGGACGAAGCGCGAGUGACGGUACCUGGAGAAGAAGCACCGGCUAACUACGUG